GAUGAAGAACGCAGCGAAAUGCGAUAAGUAAUGUGAAUUGCAGAAUUCAGUGAAUCAUCGAAUCUUUGAACGCACAUUGCGCCCGCCAGUAUUCUGGCGGGCAUGCCUGUCUGAGCGUCAUUUCAACCCUCAUGCCCCUAGGGCGUGGUGUUGGGGAUCGGCCAAAGCCCGCGAGGGACGGCCGGCCCCUAAAUCUAGUGGCGGACCCGUCGUGGCCUCCUCUGCGAAGUAGUGAUAUUCCGCAUCGGAGAGCGACGAGCCCCUGCCGUUAAACCCCCAACUUUCCAAGGUUGACCUCAGAUCAGGUAGGAUUACCCGCUGAACUUAAGCAUAUCAAUAAGCGGAGGA
rnacentral:misc_RNA from 1 species